GCAUCCGUAGCUCAGCUGGAUAGAGUACUCUGCUACGAACCGAGCGGUCGGAGGUUCGAAUCCUCCCGGAUGCACCA
rnacentral:tRNA from 2 species